GAUGAACGCUAGCGGGAGGCUUAACACAUGCAAGUCGUGGGGCAGCACAGGUAGCAAUACUGGGUGGCGACCGGCGCACGGGUGAGUAACGCGUAUGCAACCUACCCUGUACAGGGGGGAUAGCCCGGAGAAAUUCGGAUUAAUACCCCAUAAAGAUAUUUAGAGGCAUCUUUGAAUAUUUAAAGUUUCGGCGGUACGGGAUGGGCAUGCGUAACAUUAGCUAGUUGGUAGGGUAACGGCCUACCAAGGCAACGAUGUUUAGGGGUCCUGAGAGGGUGAUCCCCCACACUGGUACUGAGACACGGACCAGACUCCUACGGGUGGCUG
rnacentral:rRNA from 1 species